rnacentral:lncRNA from 1 species
UCCCCCUAUCCAGUUGGCGUUGGUCAUGGUGGAUCAAUUCAACCUACUCUUUCAAUAGGUCCAGACCUUGAUGGCUGCUGUUCAUGCGAUCCAUGCUGUCCCUAUGUCUCCACAGGUGGCACCGCAGCCUGAUCAAGCUACCCUCACACCUCUCUCGGUGGUACCACCACCGAAUCUGGCUUCACAGCCACCACCACCAUCAGAACAACUAUGGGCACCUCCACAGGGCCUAGAGAGGAGACAGACCUGCCAAAGCUGUCUCAAGACUCUGGAACCAAGAAGGCGGCAAUCUCCGAGUCUCCAAUCAGGACAUGAUUCAAACCC